UACUCUUGACAUCCAGAGAAGCCAGCGGAGACGCAGGUGUGCCUUCGGGAACUCUGAGACAGGUGCUGCAUGGCUGUCGUCAGCUCGUGUUGUGAAAUGUUGGGUUAAGUCCCGCAACGAGCGCAACCCUUAUCCUUGUUUGCCAGCGAGUCAUGUCGGGAACUCCAGGGAGACUGCCGGUGAUAAACCGGAGGAAGGUGGGGACGACGUCAAGUCAUCAUGGCCCUUACGAGUAGGGCUACACACGUGCUACAAUGGCGCAUACAGAGGGCAGCAAGCUAGCGAUAGUGAGCGAAUCCCAAAAAGUGCGUCGUAGUCCGGAUUGGAGUCUGCAACUCGACUCCAUGAAGUCGGAAUCGCUAGUAAUCGUAGAUCAGAAUG
rnacentral:rRNA from 1 species